UUCUCCACCAUCUCCUCCCCACUCUCUUUCCUACCGACGGAGGUACUGCGCCGCCCAGCCCCAAAUCCCGCCUCACCUUCUUCCCGGCGGCAGCCGGCGUCGCAGCCCGGCCCCAAUCCCGCCUCACCUUCUUCCCGGCGGCAGCCAGCGUCGCCGCCCGGUCCCAACUCCCGCUGACCUUCUUUCUGGCGGCUGCCGACAUCGCCGCCCGCCUUCUUCCCGGCGACAGGCCAAGUCUUUCUCCCACGCAUAGUCGGAUCCCCAUCUGUACCGCGCGCAGCCUAGAGGGGCCGCGCCUCGACCGGCUCGGCCUGCAACCCCCGCUCGCCGCUCGGCCUGCAACCCCCAUGCGCCGCCGUCUUGGCAUCCUCUGCACUGCCCCGAACUCCAGACCACCGUCUUGGUGUCCGCCGGGCAGGAGGUUCUCUACGCCGCCGAUGCGCCCUGCGCUGGCCGCUGACCAGGAGGUCGUUCGCGCCUGCCGGCCAGUCUACCGUGGCAGCGCGCUAGAGUUCAUCACCUCAUCUCGUUGGAUUUCAUCGGAGCGACAAACGAGCGUCGACUGCUCGUAAGACGCAGGAACACUGCUUUCCUCGUCAGUCGUCACGGCAAUCCUCAACGGCUGGUGAUCCGGGAUUCCACAACCCGCUGCGUCGUAUGAAGUUAGUUUUCUGCUAUUCUGAAUUUCUUUUUCCUAGUGGUCUGAACUGCUAAUACUGUGUGGUGUGUCGUGAACUUCACUAUCCCUGUCCUUGAUGUAUUGGUUGGAGUAAAAAGGCUUAUCUUAAUUCUUAAUACAGAAAAAUGCAUCAUCCAAUCUAAACUAUUAUCCUUGUAUUAUGUGGGUCAUUUCUCUUAAACAUUCCGUUAGAAUCACAAAAACAAAACAAAAGUUUACUUUAACUUUUCUAAGAACUUCAUUCACCGAGCAUAGUUAACUUUUGCUUUGUGGCAAGUUCACUUUUAUUUUUUCGGUAGUAUGUUUUUUCAUAUUUUCAGGGAUAUUUAACACAGUAUAGCUUGAAAAAAUAGAACAGGCGCAAGUGCGAGCUGGUGCCUUUGAACCUCCCGCCGCGAGUAUGCAUUUCUCCACCUUCAGUCAUAUUAUGCCACGGUCCUACUUCUGCAUCCUCCCCGUAUGCAUUGUUGCUGGUGCUAAUCCCCUCCUUGCUGCAAGGUAGCUACAAUGUACUAAUAAAAUAAUUUCUUGUAGAAAGAUUUCAGUUCCGAUGUGAAUCUAUCAAAUUACUUUAGUGUGUGUUGUUUGCAUGUCUGCCGUAAGUUCAGUUCUGAUAUGAAUAUUGGAUAAGUGUUUAUUGUACAGCAAAAAGAGUAAUCUAUCUUGACAGCUAAGCAACAUGUUGAGUGUGCGUUCUUAAUUUCCUGAACUCCUGAACCAGUAGUUCUGAAUGUAAACAACCAUCGAUGCAUAUGUGAUAAAAUUGGUCCAAUUUUGAACUACUCAUACUUCCAUUUCUUAGUUAUUUGAGGGUUGCAAAUCGGCCAGCAGCAAGAAAGGCCUGGUACCAGUGAACUACGACACCCUUUUCUAGUUUUCUUUGAACUCCCGUUUUGAUCCUGUACCUCGACGGCGAGCGCCGUCCUAGCUGUUCGUUUCACUGACAGUUGUUGCAGUUCGUUUGAGCAUAAUGAGAGGUGUAUCUCUCGUUUCUAUUUCUCCUUGUACAUGUAAGUUGCUAAUUUUCUGAAUUUCCAGAUGAAAUUAUUCUAAACUGGGUGCGUGCCUUUUCUGAACUGAAGCUGGUGCGCAUCUCCGUCGUCUGGCACAUACCCUGCUCUGUUGGUGUGCCUCGUGCUUUUGUGCAGGUCCUACUGCUUGGUGCCACCACCCAUGGUUUGCAGUUGGCCUCCAUUGACUCAUUAGCUGCUGGAGCCUCUCUCUUUUCUGGAGGACUUGAGCCUAGCACCUGUUGAUGUGUGGUUUUUUCCCCGGUUAGCUGCGUGUUCAGGUAUUCACCAUGUUCACUUCUCAAGUUCACUAUGUUCUUUAUGUGAGGUUCACUUUGGUGUUCUCUAUUGGUGAACGUGAGAAGCUCUGAGCAAGAGUUCACUUACUGUCACAAAGGUCACUUGAUUACCCUGUAUAUUUACAUCGUUUAUACGGGGUAAUCCACCUGGCAGUAAACUUCUCUAUUUCGGAUAGCUCACAAAAUGUUUACCAGUAUCACACUUGUUUAUUUGGGGGAAGAUCACUAGUUUGAACCAGGCAGUCCACUCGGUAAUAAAUAGAACAUUCAUAUUUCACUUGAGUAACGGUAUAUUAUUUGUGUUAUCACAAAAUAUGUUACAAAAGUAAGGAAUCCAUGGAAGUUCACUUUAUUCGUUGGAGAAAUUCAAUUCCACUUGAGUGUGGAGUCAAAAUUGUUCAUAUUUUUGUCAAGAGGUUCGCUUAUUGUAAUUCGGAAGCCCUGUCUUGUGCGUGAGCUCCAGACCGGUUUGUGUACUUAGAAAAGGAAGUCCACCUAUUAAGAUAGAGCGGUUAAUUUACUGAAAAACCUAAU